GUCGAGGUAGCUCAGAGGAAGAGCACGCGCCCGAUAAGCGCGAGGUCGAGAUUUCAAAACUCUCCCCCGACACCA
rnacentral:tRNA from 1 species